rnacentral:lncRNA from 1 species
GUGUGUGUGUGUGUGUAUGUGUGUCUAUAUGUAUAUCUAUAUGUAUAUAUAUAUGUAUAUAUAUAUAUAUAUAUAUGUAUGUAUGUUUGUAUGUAUGUAUUUAUAUGUAUAUAUAUAUCUAUAUGUAUAUAUAUUUGUAUAUAUAUAGAUAGAUAUAUUAGAUGUGGUAUUGCAGUUAUUCUAACCAUUCAGCGAUUGGUUUCAUCAAUACAGGGAAUUCUAAUACUUGUGGAUUUCUAUGUCUAGGUUGGAUGUGCUAGAUGUUGUUGAUGUUGGUUUUCUAUAAGCAUAUUUCGAUAUUGGUUCACUUCUCUACUUUGAUGCUGGGCUUUGUGUUUCUCUUAGCUAACUUUGCUAUAUUACUAUUGUGAUGUAACUAAAUACGGAAUUCUAUCCUAUCAACUCAUUAUAUGUUUCUGUAUAUUGGGAAGGCUUUUAUACACUUCGAUUCUCUAUUAC